UACGAACUGUGCGACCGUUAUUCGGAAUCACUGGGCUUACAGGGUGCGUAGGCGGCUUGUUAAGUAGGGUGUGAAAGCCCCCGGCUCAACCGGGGAAUGGCGCCCUAAACUGGCGAGCUAGAGUGAGAUAGGGGUGUGUGGAACUUCCGGUGGAGCGGUGAAAUGUGUUGAUACCGGAAGGAACGCCGGUGGCGAAAGCGACACACUGGAUCUUGUCUGACGCUGAGGCACGAAAGCCAGGGGAGCGAACGGG
rnacentral:rRNA from 1 species